CAUUAUUCUCUCACUGGUUACUGGAAAUUGACAAAAAAAGACAGAUAUAAUAAGAUAAGGUUUAUUAAUACAAUAAAUACAAAAUAUGUGGUAUUACUAUAAACUGAUAGAUUUAUUUUGAUGCAAGGCAGGGGUGUCCAGACCUGCUCUAAGAAAGCCAGUAUUCUGUGGGGUUCAGCUCUAACACACCUGCCUGGAACUUCAGACUAAUGAAAUUGAAGUAUCCAAAUGAAGACCCUAGCAGUAUGGAGUAUAUGUAUAGAGACGUUGCCAGCAGUCAGGAGGUGAUCCAGAAGACUCGUGGGAAUCUAUUUGAAGCUGCAUCAUUGAAGACAAUCCAGCAGAUGUUGGCGUUUUAAAGGAUACAGUUCUUCAGGACCUAUAGCAGUUUACAGUCUGCAAAACCAUGUUGCUGGGACUGAUUUAUGGACUGAACUUGAGCAACCCUCCUGAACUCAGGUACACAUUUGGAAUACUGAAGAAGUUAUUUCUGGAGCCAGUUCCUGUUCCUGGAAUAAGGUUUGAUUAGUUACCCAUGAAUGCCAAUUAGAAUUUUAUUUGCUAUUUUGUGUAAUUUUGUAAUGUGGUUUAAACUGUAUUUUACUAUGUGUAAUUAUUUAUUGCUUGUUUAACAAAUACACUUUGAUCAUUUGUGA